rnacentral:lncRNA from 1 species
UUCUGCGGUUGGGCAUAACCGUAGCCAUAACCAGCCAUUUGGUUGCCAUACAUUUGCUGAGGAUACAUGUAACCCAUCUGCCCAGAUGGCAUUUGUUGUGGAAACACACCCAUCAAUUGCCCACCUUGCAUUGGUUGAGGUGACAAGCCUACCAUCUGAUUGCUUUGCAUAGUCUGGUUCAUCAUGGCGGGAUGUCCACCAGUGAUCUGUUGUGUAUACAUACCAUGGGCAUAUGAACCACCAGCUAAUUGCUGGCUGUUAGCUGCCACCAGCUGAUUAUUUUGCAUUGAUAAAGCAUUUGGACUACUAGACAUGAGCUGAUUGUUGUGCAUUGGUAGAGUAUGUGGACUGCCUGGCAACAUCAGACUAUUUUGCAUUGGUUGAGCUAGGUGACAAGCCUACCAUCUGAUUGCUUUGCAUAGUCUGGUUCAUCAUGGCGGGAAGUCCACCAGUGAUCUGCUGUGUAUACAUUCCAUGGGCAUAUGAACCACCA